rnacentral:rRNA from 1 species
GACAGAGGGGGCAAGCGUUGUCCGGAUUUAUUGGGCGUAAAGAGCUCGUAGGCGGUCUGUCGCGUCGGAUGUGAAACCCCUGGGCUUAACCCUGGGCCUGCAUUCGAUACGGGCAGACUAGAGUUCGGUAGGGGAGACUGGAAUUCCUGGUGUAGCGGUGAAAUGCGCAGAUAUCAGGAGGAACACCGGUGGCGAAGGCGGGUCUCUAGGCCGACACUGACGCUGAGGAGCGAAAGCGUGGGGAGCGAACAGG